UACAGAGGGUGCGAGCGUUGUCCGGAAUCACUGGGCGUAAAGGGCGCGUAGGUGGCGCUGCAAGUCGGUGGUGAAAGCUCGACGCUCAACGUCGAGUCGGCCAUCGAAACUGCAGGGCUCGAGCACUGUAGGGGCAGAUGGAAUUCCGAGUGUAGCGGUGGAAUGCGUAGAGAUCAGGAAGAACACCGGUGGCGAAAGCGCUCUGCUAGGCCGCAACUGACACUGAGGGACGAAAGCUAGGGGAGCGA
rnacentral:rRNA from 1 species